rnacentral:tRNA from 1 species
GAGGAGGUAGUUCAGUGGCAGAACGCCCGGCUCUCCCCCGGGUGGCCGCAGGUUCGAGCCCUGCCCUCCUCACCC